rnacentral:rRNA from 1 species
UACGUAGGGUGCAAGCGUUGUCCGGAAUUAUUGGGCGUAAAGAGCUCGUAGGCGGUCUGUCGCGUCGGCUGUGAAAACCCGGAGCUCAACUCCGGGCCUGCAGUCGAUACGGGCAGACUGGAGUUCGGCAGGGGAGACUGGAAUUCCUGGUGUAGCGGUGAAAUGCGCAGAUAUCAGGAGGAACACCGGUGGCGAAGGCGGGUCUCUGGGCCGAUACUGACGCUGAGGCGCGAAAGCGUGGGGAGCAAACAGG